AGUCAUUAUGACUGAGUUUCAAAUUAGAGGGACAAAUACCACCACAUCAUGAGAAUGGUUAUAUUUUAAAAACACGAUCAAAAGUGGUCAGCGGAUAGCAAAAGGCUCAUGGACUGGAAACGGGUCGGAUCAUUUUUUUUCAUACGGAAUCUGGAAUUUGAGAAAUAAAUAGGGAUGGGAUCAAAACAACAGGGCAGAUAGAGAUAGUGAGAAAAGUGUUGAUCAAAGAGGGGUAUAAUAGAAGGAUGUCUUGGUUGAUGAAAGGAGAGCCAUUGGUGAGGAAGGUUGCCCUGAUUGCUAAGUACGGUGUGUUCCCUGCUGCUAUGGCUGCUGCUGUCAUCUAUUCUCCACCCACUUAUGCUUCUUAUUAUUCUAAACCCCAAUCUUCUUCCAAAUAAACACCCUGGGGUUCUUUUUGACUUGCCGAAUGCUUCUGGUUCCAGUAUAUUACUGAAAUGCUUUAUUUGUAAUAGACGUGGUAUGUAAUAAUCCAAUGGGGCAGCUUGUUUCUGUACUCAAAACUAUGGACUUUUGAAAAUCGGAACAGGUUGGCUCUUUGUUAUAAUGUGAAACUUUCUUCCAUCA